GCGGGUAUAGUUUAGUGGUAGAAUGGCACACUUCCAAUGUGCAGACGGGAGUUCGAUUCCCCCUACCCGCA
rnacentral:tRNA from 1 species